rnacentral:misc_RNA from 1 species
CCGAGUGAGGGCUCCGGCCCGACCUCCAACCCUUUGUGAACCAAACCUGUUGCUUCGGGGGCGACCCUGCCGUUCGCGGCGCGGCGCCCCCGGGGGAAAUCAAACACUGCGUCAGUUUGUGUCGGAGUACUUGUUAAUAAACA